CAAAAGAUCCCUGAACCUCCACCAAACAAACAAACCAAAAAAACCACCAGAAAAACUCCCUCCAACAAGCACCUCUCAUUGAGAUGCUUCAGCAAGAGGAGAAACAGAAAAAAAGAAACUUUUGUGAAGAAAAAAGAGUCAUUUUCUACUAUUUUCAUCAAAGGCAAACUUCUAAUGACUUGGCAACAGUAAGAGGAGACAAGAAGCAAAGCUGACCUGCUGUGUGCAACUGAGGGAGCAAUUGGACCUGUCAUGUUUGUUCCUUUUGUUGACUACAAAAUAGUUAGGGGAAGCAAACCCACUAUCUUUUUGCUUGAAUAUGAUACUUAUAGUAAAUAUAAGUUAAUUCCUCAAAGUUUGUUCCUGGUACUUUUUUUUUUUUUUUUUCCCUAAAGCCUUCUUGUCAAGUAAACUCUGUGUGGCUUUCCAUCCCUGGAGAUUUGGAUUCACUGCCUUCCAGCAUGCAUGUUUGACUAUAUAAUGGUUUCUCUGCUUUGAAGCAGAGAAAUGCACCCAUGCUUCUAGCCUUUAUGUUGUAAUAUCACUCUUUUUCCCCCACAGAAAGCAUCUAAAUAUAAAUAAGAGUGCAAAUAUCUGGAAAACAAAAAAAGAAAUAAUUUUCAGUUACAUUAAAAUCCCUUGAUACAGGGAAAAUGCAGAAACAUUCUUUUGUUUCUGUCACUUUCUUUGAAACUAAAACAUUGGUUUAUAAUGGGACUGAGAGUGCUUUAUACAACAGGAGUUAAAUUCACAGCUGGACAGGGUUCUUGCAUGCAUCAGCAAAGACUUGCAUCAGGCCCCUAAGGACUUCAAUGGAACUGAGUUAGAAUGCUCCCAUGAUUCUAUGCAGAGCCUUUAAUCUCAUACAAUGCUUGAGAAAACUGCAUUAUAUUCUUGAAAAAAAAAAUAUUAUACACUAGUCAAAGAUGUGUGUUGUCUGAAAUUAUCAUGCCUGUCUGGUUCUAUUUUGGUAUCACUUGCCUAAGUUCAGAGAGCACAUGACUUUGUCAUUCUGUCUUUCUGCCUCCUUAGAGGCUCAACUGAAAGAUUAGUCUCAGCUAAUCUUGACCUAUACAAGCAGAAUUGUAAGGGAAACAGCACAAUAUUUUUUGCACUUUUAAUAAUAAAAAAGUGCAAACACUUCAUAUUUGUACAUAUUAUUAUUAUUUUCUAAUUUAGAAGACAAAAUGUGCUUCUCAAACAGAAGAAUUCUUGUUUAAGGAUAAAAAACAGUAAAGCAGGAUGAUCAGCCUACCAGUAUACAAAAGUGGCAUUUGAGCAAAAUUUAACAUCAUUUGUACUAUAUAAUGAAAUUACACAUCCAUUUAUAUACCCUUUCUUUUGCUUUAGCAGGCUAACUAGCUAAAGGGCCAGGUGCUAGCAAAACUGGUGUCUGCUUAACAACAGUCCACAUGAGCAGGAAAUAAGUAGGAAUGUUGUGUUUCUCUAGCAGAUCCCAGUCUAGCAUGGUAUCUGUUGGUGUACUUCAAAGCCAAACACAAUCCUGCUGAAGUAAAAAAGGUACAGAGUUAAAUGCAUUAACUGCUUUACCGAGCCUGGAAGAGACAAACUGGGCAACUGCCACAGAGAACUUGCUGGAUUUCAGUGGAGGACUGUGGGGAACAGCACUGAACUACAGGUUCCAAGCCAUGUACUCCUGUAACAAGAUAGCUCAUGCUACUAAGAAGUGAGACAAGAGCUGAGGACAGGACCUGGGACAAGCAGGGCAUAGUCUAGGAUGGGGAGAGCUGGGACAGCUGACCUGGAGACAGACUUCAUAAUACACAGCAUCAUGCUCUGCAAGAAAACCAGGGGAGGCGAGUCUUGUUGUAAGUAGCCGCUCUUGGAGGUAGGCUGGACACCACUUUGCUGCUGGGCAGGUGUGGAAUUGCUUUUACAUCACUUGUUUUCUUCCAUAAUUUUCCUCUUUACUCAUUAACCUGUCUUCACUUUGACCCGUAACUGCUUUUUUGGUUUGUUUUGGGUUCCACCUUUUUCCUCCAUCCCAUUGGGAGGUUGCAGUGAGAAGUGACUGGAAGGGAGCUUAGCUGCUGCCCAGGAUCAACCCACCAAACCAAAAAAGCAGUCAGUGUUGGCUGUUGGGUGAGUUUGCCAGCAGCAGAAUGCCUCUUGCAGAGAGAGCAAUUAACAGCUGUGCCUCAGCCAUCUCUGUGGAAGCAGAGCAGGAGGAUGGAAGUGUGCAGCACAAAGACUUGAGCUGCUCAAACCUGGGACACAAGAGGACAUCUGGGUAAGGACAGAGAGCAGCAAUUCCUCACCUCUUAGUAAUUCACCAAGAGUUGUCAUGUAAGUGUAGGUCUGGUAUAGUAUGUGACGUUUCACAUACGUGCUGAAAAGCCAGACUGUGAGCCAGCUACCUAAAGCUCUGCUGACAUCUGGUGCUGAGCAGAAAAUGAGUUUUGCAAUAAGGUCCUCCACUUCGCAACACUAUCUUAUGGGACAGCAGUUGCAUUGUUCAUCCUGUCUCCCAAAACACAGCCUGCUUAGCAUACUCACAUGUCUAGGGAGUCUCAGUUCUCAGACAAAGCCUCUUUAGGAAUAUUUGAAAUUAACAAUGAAGUAAAAACUGAAAACUCCAUAUUAAUUAGUGGGAACAUCACAUUUUUGUCAAGAUUUUAAUCCCUCAUGGAGUAUAGAGCUGAGUUUUUAAUCAAUGGUUACCUUAAUUGUAAUAGAUUUUGUGUCUUGCAAUUUACUUCUUGAUAGAAUUGAUUAAAACAAAAAAAUUUUAGGCAUUUUUUCAAAAUCUGGUGUACUUCCACAAAAAUAAGAGAUAUUUGAGAGAAAUGCUUUAUAUUUUCAGAGUCAUAGAGCCAUCAUCUCCAACAACUAGAGUUGGGUAAGGGUUUCUAGGUAAUGAUUUUUUGCAAAAAAAAGACAUCAAGUAUUUUAAUUUUGCUAGUGAGUUAAACAGAAAUCAUAUUUCUGUUUCAAUUUUGCUGCUCUGCCCAUUUCUGUAUGUAUCAAUAUAUCAAUUGCCAGGAAUAAACCUCAAAAUCAAUUAUAAAUUAAAAUCAAUUUUUUAAACAUUCCAGUUUUGUGAGAGAAUUUCAAACAAAACUAUUUCUAAAGAUGUUUUUGUUUGUACUGCUCCUGUAAAUUUUCAGGGGGCGUGUUAGCAAAAAAACAUUGUUAGUUAUCAAAAAACAUUGCUGGAAUGUUUCCAUGCUCUCAGAAAACUGUCAUUUUUUUUUUCCCUUUCUGAGAAAAAGAAAGGGUGAGCUGUCUGCUUUCAGGACAUUGAAGCCUAAUGUGUUACAAAACCACUCAGGAUGAAAUAAUAAAAAUUGAUAUGAAAAAAUCUGAAAAAAAAAACUAGCCAUUUCCAUGUAGAAAAACUGUGCCGCAUAAUACAAACAUGUUAAAUGGACUGGAUAGAUAAAAUAUAUCUGAAUUUUUAAGUGCUUGUGAGAGCCUUCCAUGGAAAAUCUUUCAGGAAGAUGCAUAGGCAUAGAAAGGAAAAGGGAAGUGCUAUGACAAAUAAAACUAGCUAGGAAAAGCCAUGAGAUUGAACAUCCAGCCCUCAACAUGGCAAAGCAUAUCAUAUAUUCAGACCUGUUCUUCAACAUAAAGAAGUUAAUUAGGUCAU